rnacentral:rRNA from 1 species
UACAGAGGUCUCAAGCGUUGUUCGGAUUCAUUGGGCGUAAAGGGUGCGUAGGCGGCGCGGUAAGUCGGGUGUGAAAUCUUGGAGCUUAACUCCGAAACUGCAUUCGAUACUGCCGUGCUUGAGGACUGGAGAGGAGACUGGAAUUUACGGUGUAGCGGUGAAAUGCGUAGAUAUCGUAAGGAACACCAAUGGCGAAGGCAGCUUGCUGGGCCGACCCUGACGCUAAGGCACGAAAGCGUGGGGAGCGAACAGG